UACGGAGGGUGCAAGCGUUAAUCGGAAUUACUGGGCGUAAAGCGCGCGUAGGCGGUUUUUUAAGUCGGAUGUGAAAGCCCCGGGCUCAACCUGGGAACUGCAUCCGAUACUGGAAGACUAGAAUGCGGGAGAGGGAGGUAGGAUUCCAUGUGUAGCAGUGAAAUGCGUAGAUAUAUGGAGGAAUACCAGUGGCGAAGGCGGCCUCCUGGCUCGACAUUGACGCUGAGGCGCGAAAGCGUGGGGAGCAAACGGG
rnacentral:rRNA from 1 species